CCUACGGGAGGCAGCAGUGGGGAAUAUUGGACAAUGGGGGAAACCCUUAUCCAGCGACGCCGCGUGAGGGAAGAAGGCUUUCGGAUUGUAAACCUCUGUCCGUGGGGGCGUUAAUAUCGUUACUCACGGAGGAAGACACGGCUACCUACUUUCCAGCAGCCGCGGUAAUACGUAGGUGGCAGGCGUUGUCCGGACUUACUGGGGGUAAAGGGGGCGUAGGCGGGAUGUCAAGUAAGAAGGGAAUAGUAUGGGCUCAACUCAUCAUCUGCUUUUGAAACUGAUAUUCUUGAGUGAAGUAGAGGCAAGCGGAAUUCCGAGUGUAGCGGUGAAAUGCGUAGAUAUUAGGAGGAACACCAGUGGCGAAGGCGGCUUGCUGGGCUUUUACUGACGCUGAGGCGCGAAAGCGUGGGGAGCAAACAGGAUUAGAUACCCGAGUAGUC
rnacentral:rRNA from 1 species